rfam:Triticum aestivum genome assembly, contig: Triticum_aestivum_CS42_TGACv1_scaffold_592778_7BS
UAAAUGCUCCCUCUGUCCAAAAAUACUUGUCACCAAAAUGGAUAAAAAGAGAUGUAUCUAAAACUAAAAUACGUCUAGAUACAUUUCCUUUUAUCCAUUUUGAUGACAAGUAUUUUCGGAUGGAGGGAGUAUUUG